GCGGCAAGAGCUCAAAUUUGAAAUCUGGCUCCUUCGGGGCCCGAGUUGUAAUUUGUAGAGGAUGCUUCGGGCGUGGCCGCGGUCUAAGUCCCCUGGAACGGGGCGUCGCAGAGGGUGAGAAUCCCGUCUUCGGCCGGCCGGCCCCGCCCGUGUGAAGCUCCUUCGACGAGUCGAGUUGUUUGGGAAUGCAGCUCUAAAUGGGUGGUAAAUUUCAUCUAAAGCUAAAUACUGGUCGGAGACCGAUAGCGCACAAGUAGAGUGAUCGAAAGAUGAAAAGCACUUUGAAAAGAGAGUUAAACAGCAUGUGAAAUUGUUGAAAGGGAAGCGCUUGCGACCAGAGUCGGCCGCGGGGGCUCAGCGGGCACUCGUUGCCCGUGCACUCCCCCGUGGUCGGGCCAGCGUCGGUUUCGACGGCCGGUCAAAGGCCCCCGGAAUGUGUCGCCUCUCGGGGCGUCUUAUAGCCGGGGGUGCAAUGCGGCCAGUCGGGACCGAGGAACGCGCUCCGGCACGGACGCUGGCUUAAUGGUCGUAAGCGACCCGUCUUGAAACACGGACCAAGGAGUCUAACAUCCACGCGAGUGUUCGGGUGUCAAACCCGUCCGCGCAGUGAAAGCGAACGGAGGUGGGAACCCUCAAGGGUGCACCAUCGACCGAUCCUGAAGUCUUCGGAUGGAUUUGAGUAAGAGCGUGGCUGUUGGACCCGAAAGAUGG
rnacentral:rRNA from 1 species